AGCGAACGCUGGCGGCAGGCCUAACACAUGCAAGUCGAACGAACCUUUCGGGGUUAGUGGCGGACGGCUCAGUAACACGUGGGAACGUGCCUUUAGGUUCGGAAUAACUCAGGGAAACUUGUGCUAAUACCGAAUGUGCCCUUCGGGGGAAAGAUUUAUCGCCUUUAGAGCGGCCCGCGUCUGAUUAGCUAGUUGGUUGAGGUAAUGGCUCACCAAGGCGACGAUCAGUAGCUGGUCUGAGAGGAUGAUCAGCCACAUUGGGACUGAGACACGGCCCAGACUCCUACGGGAGGCAGCAGUGGGGAAUCUUGCGAAAUGGGCGAAAGCCUGACGCAGCCAUGCCGCGUGAAUGAUGAAGGCCUUAGGAUUGUAAAAUUCUUUCACCGGGGACGAUAAUGACGGUACCCGGAGAAGAAGCCCCGGCUAACUUCGUG
rnacentral:rRNA from 1 species